UACGGGGGGAGCAAGCGUUGUUCGGAUUUACUGGGCGUAAAGGGCGCGUAGGCGGCCACGACAAGUCACUUGUGAAAUCUCCGGGCUUAACCCGGAACGGUCAAGUGAUACUGUCGGGCUAGAGUGCAGAAGGGGCAACUGGAAUUCUCGGUGUAGCGGUGAAAUGCGUAGAUAUCGAGAGGAACACCUGCGGCGAAGGCGGGUUGCUGGGCUGACACUGACGCUGAGGCGCGAAAGCCAGGGGAGCGAACGGG
rnacentral:rRNA from 1 species